rnacentral:ncRNA from 1 species
UGAGUUUGGAACCCUGAACAGACUGUCGGUGAUAAGCCGGAGGAAGGUGAGGAUGACGUCAAGUCAUCAUGCCCCUUACGCCCUGGGCGACACACGUGCUACAAUGACUGGGACAAAGGGUCGUGACCCCGCGAGGGCAAGCUAACCUCAAAAACUCAGCCUCAGUUCGGAUUGCAGGCUGCAACUCGCCUGCAUGAAGCCGGAAUUGCUAGUAAUCAUCGGUCAGCCAUACGACGGUGAAUCCGUUCUCGGGCCUUGUACACACCACCCAUCACACUAUGGGAGCUAGCCAUGCCCCAAGUCGUUACCUUAACUGCAAGGAGGGGGAUGCCGAAGGCUGGGCUAGUGACUAGAGUGAAGUCGUAACAAGGUAUCCGUACUAGAAGGUGCGGCUGGAUCACCUCCUUU